CCUACGGGUGGCAGCAGUGGGGAAUAUUGCACAAUGGGGGAAACCCUGAUGCAGCGACGCCGCGUGAGUGAAGAAGUACUUCGUUAUGUAAAGCUCUAUCAGCAGGGAAGAAAAUGACGGUACCUGAGUAAGAAGCCCCGGCUAACUACGUGCCAGCAGCCGCGGUAAUACGUAGGGGGCAAGCGUUAUCCGGAUUUACUGGGUGGAAAGGGAGCGUAGACGGCAGUGCAAGUCUGGAGUGAAAGGCGGGGGCUCAACCCCCGGACUGCUCUGGAAACUGUACGGCUGGAGUGCAGGAGAGGUAAGGGGAAUUCCUAGUGUAGCGGUGAAAUGCGUAGAUAUUAGGAGGAACACCAGUGGCGAAGGCGGCUUACUGGACUGUAACUGACGUUGAGGCUCGAAAGCGUGGGGAGCAAACAGGAUUAGAUACCCCUGUAGUC
rnacentral:rRNA from 1 species